rnacentral:rRNA from 1 species
CUUAACCGGGCGUUAAGUUGCAGGGUAUAGACCCGAAACCCGGUGAUCUAGCCAUGGGCAGGUUGAAGGUUGGGUAACACUAACUGGAGGACCGAACCGACUAAUGUUGAAAAAUUAGCGGAUGACCUGUGGCUGGGGGUGAAAGGCCAAUCAAACCGGGAGAUAGCUGGUUCUCCCCGAAAGCUAUUUAGGUAGCGCCUCGUGAAUUCAUCUCCGGGGGUAGAGCACUGUUUCGGCUAGGGGGCCAUCCCGGCUUACCAACCCGAUGCAAACUGCGAAUACCGGAGAAUGUUAUCACGGGAGACACACGGCGGGUGCUAACGUCCGUCGUGAAGAGGGAAACAACCCAGACCGCCAGCUAAGGUCCCAAAGUCAUGGUUAAGUGGGAAACGAUGUGGGAAGGCCCAGACAGCCAGGAUGUUGGCUUAGAAGCAGCCAUCAUUUAAAGAAAGCGUAAUAGCUCACUGGUCGAGUCGGCCUGCGCGGAAGAUGUAACGGGGCUAAACCAUGCACCGAAGCUGCGGCAGCGAACGUAUCACCCAAGACAACUUUACGGAGUUGACGAUUGACGGAGCGAAGCGACGUCAAAGCGUUCAUUAAAGUCGAGUUGGCUUAGGGAUACGUUCGUUGGGUAGGGGAGCGUUCUGUAAGCCUGUGAAGGUGUGUCGUGAGGCAUGCUGGAGGUAUCAGAAGUGCGAAUGCUGACAUAAGUAACGAUAAAGCGGGUGAAAAGCCCGCUCGCCGGAAGACCAAGGGUUCCUGUCCAACGUUAAUCGGGGCAGGGUGAGUCGACCCCUAAGGCGAGGCCGAAAGGCGUAGUCGAUGGGAAACGGGUUAAUAUUCCCGUACUUGGUGUUACUGCGAAGGGGGGACGGAGAAGGCUAUGUUGGCCGGGCGACGGUUGUCCCGGUUUAAGCGUGUAGGUGUGUGUUCCAGGUAAAUCCGGUUCACUUUAACACUGAGGCGUGACGACGAGGCACUACGGUGCUGAAGCAACAAAUGCCCUGCUUCCAGGAAAAGCCUCUAAGCAUCAGGUAACAUCAAAUCGUACCCCAAACCGACACAGGUGGUCAGGUAGAGAAUACCAAGGCGCUUGAGAGAACUCGGGUGAAGGAACUAGGCAAAAUGGUGCCGUAACUUCGGGAGAAGGCACGCUGACACGUAGGUGAAGUGAUUUACUCAUGGAGCUGAAGUCAGUCGAAGAUACCAGCUGGCUGCAACUGUUUAUUAAAAACACAGCACUGUGCAAACACGAAAGUGGACGUAUACGGUGUGACGCCUGCCCGGUGCCGGAAGGUUAAUUGAUGGGGUCAGCGCAAGCGAAGCUCCUGAUCGAAGCCCCGGUAAACGGCGGCCGUAACUAUAACGGUCCUAAGGUAGCGAAAUUCCUUGUCGGGUAAGUUCCGACCUGCACGAAUGGCGUAAUGAUGGCCAGGCUGUCUCCACCCGAGACUCAGUGAAAUUGAACUCGCUGUGAAGAUGCAGUGUACCCGCGGCAAGACGGAAAGACCCCGUGAACCUUUACUAUAGCUUGACACUGAACAUUGAGCCUUGAUGUGUAGGAUAGGUGGGAGGCUUUGAAGUGUGGACGCCAGUCUGCAUGGAGCCGACCUUGAAAUACCACCCUUUAAUGUUUGAUGUUCUAACGUGGACCCGUAAUCCGGGUUGCGGACAGUGUCUGGUGGGUAGUUUGACUGGGGCGGUCUCCUCCUAAAGAGUAACGGAGGAGCACGAAGGUUGGCUAAUCCUGGUCGGACAUCAGGAGGUUAGUGCAAUGGCAUAAGCCAGCUUGACUGCGAGCGUGACGGCGCGAGCAGGUGCGAAAGCAGGUCAUAGUGAUCCGGUGGUUCUGAAUGGAAGGGCCAUCGCUCAACGGAUAAAAGGUACUCCGGGGAUAACAGGCUGAUACCGCCCAAGAGUUCAUAUCGACGGCGGUGUUUGGCACCUCGAUGUCGGCUCAUCACAUCCUGGGGCUGAAGUAGGUCCCAAGGGUAUGGCUGUUCGCCAUUUAAAGUGGUACGCGAGCUGGGUUUAGAACGUCGUGAGACAGUUCGGUCCCUAUCUGCCGUGGGCGCUGGAGAACUGAGGGGGGCUGCUCCUAGUACGAGAGGACCGGAGUGGACGCAUCACUGGUGUUCGGGUUGUCAUGCCAAUGGCACUGCCCGGUAGCUAAAUGCGGAAGAGAUAAGUGCUGAAAGCAUCUAAGCACGAAACUUGCCCCGA